AUUGAACGCUGGCGGCAGGCUUAACACAUGCAAGUCGAGCGGAGCGAGGGUGCUUGCACCUUAGCUUAGCGGCGGACGGGUGAGUAAUGCUUAGGAAUCUGCCUAUUAGUGGGGGACAACAUUCCGAAAGGAAUGCUAAUACCGCAUACGCCCUACGGGGGAAAGCAGGGGAUCUUCGGACAUUGCGCUAAUAGAUGAGCCUAAGUCGGAUUAGCUAGUUGGUGGGGUAAAGGCCUACCAAGGGGACGAUCUGUCGCGGGUCUGAGAGGAUGAUCCGCCACACUGGGACUGAGACACGGCCCAGACUCCUACGGGAGGCAGCAGUGGGGAAUAUUGGACAAUGGGCGGAAGCCUGAUCCAGCCAUGCCGCGUGUGUGAAGAAGGCCUUUUGGUUGUAAAGCACUUUAAGCGAGGAGGAGGCUACUUAGAUUAAUACUCUAGGAUAGUGGACGUUACUCGCAGAAUAAGCACCGGCUAACUCUGUGCCAGCAGCCGCGGUAAUAC
rnacentral:rRNA from 1 species